rnacentral:misc_RNA from 1 species
GUUAUAUUCUAAGAUGGGCUGCACACAGCUACUGGGGGAACAUGAGAAAUAGCCUUUGAGGCAAACAUGGUCUCCAAAGGAGAUGGGACAAAUUCUUGUUCAAGAAAUAUCAUUUUUAGAUUUUGAAAAGACAAGGAUGGGAAUCGUUGGGGAAAUUUUGCAAUAUGAACUUCCUGCAUUUUCCCCAUAAAGGAGAAGAUCUGAACGCGUUAUUAGGGAUAUGGAUGUGUUUUUAAAUAGAAAUAAACAGUUUUGGGCGUUGCAAAGGCAGCACACGGGGCCCUCACGCAGUAUUUAUCUGCUGAGCAGCAAGCUUCCAACUUUAUAAUGACUUUCGUACUCUCCUUUCUGAUCAGGCUAGUAUAGAACUGAAAUCUAAUUGAUGUUCCAGUCUCAACCAGUCUGAUGUUUAGUACACCUGAAAACUAAAAAUUCCAACAAGCAAAAUCAUAACUCAAACCAAACUCUGGGGUCUUUUCAUAAUUGAAAAACUUCAAGUAUUGGUUCCAUGACAACACAUAUAUCAAAAUUCAAGUCUUGAUAUUGUAAUGAUGAGAAAAUGUAACCCACACAACAAUGUUCGUAAAAUCAUUGGAAAUUACUCUAGCUACCAUAACAGAACAUUCUUGCUACUAUAUUAAAACCAUAUGAAGAGUAGGCAAAGAUAAACCCAUCAUCGAAGCCUCCUAGCUUCUCUUUCAGACUCAAGGAGGGUAAGCACAUCCCCUUCUCUGACAGGUCCCUUCACAUUCCUCAUGAUGAAUCGAUUCUGGUCAUCAAGAAACUUGACUCUGACUUGAGUCACCUGCCCCCUCGAUCCAGUCCUACCCAUAACUUUCACCACCACGGCAUGCUUAAUCUGUGAAUCCAUCCUGAGAAGAUUGCAGAAGGAGCGAGAUGAAGAACAGCCGCUACGAUUUCUUGUCGCAACUCUUGCAAGGCGAGAC